GAUGAACGCUGGCGGCGUGCCUAAUACAUGCAAGUCGAGCGAACGGACGAGAAGCUUGCUUCUCUGAUGUUAGCGGCGGACGGGUGAGUAACACGUGGAUAACCUACCUAUAAGACUGGGAUAAAUUCGGGAAACCGGAGCUAAUACCGGAUAAUAUUUUGAACCGCAUGAUUCAAAAGUGAAAGACGGUCUUGCUGUCACUUAUAGAUGGAUCCGCGCUGCAUUAGCUAGUUGGUAAGGUAACGGCUUACCAAGGCAACGAUGCAUAGCCGACCUGAGAGGGUGAUCGGCCACACUGGAACUGAGACACGGUCCAGACUCCUACGGGAGGCAGCAGUAGGGAAUCUUCCGCAAUGGGCGAAAGCCUGACGGAGCAACGCCGCGUGAGUGAUGAAGGUCUGCGGAUCGUAAAACUCUGUUAUUAGGGAAGAACAUAUGUGUAAGUAACUGUGCACAUCUUGACGGUACCUAAUCAGAAAGCCACGGCUAACUACGUG
rnacentral:rRNA from 1 species